GAGAUGAACGGAAAGACACGAGUCAUGCUCCAUGAGAUCUGCAUAUGACUGAGGUCAGGCGGGCCGUCUCUGAAGCGCUGUGGGGAAUGUGUGCAGCGGAUGCCAUGUCGAUGCCCGUCCACUGGUACUACAACACCCAAGACAUCAGGAGGGACUUCAUUGGCUGGAUCACUGGAUUCAAUGCGCCGCGGGGCAGACACCCAUCCAGCAUCCUAAGCCUGUCCAGCACAGGUCGUACAGCUGAAAUACUGCUGGUACUGCUUUACUGAUGCUUGCAUGUAAUCAUGCUGUGUGUGAUUAUUGUGUAGCUGGCAGUGGACGCAGAGCCGGAUCAACCGGAACCGCAGCUCAUGUCGUGGGGAACGUGAUUCUGCAUGAUAAGCUGAAGUUCUGGACGGAUCCACGUGGAUCAGUGCACUACCAUCAGGGUCUUCACGCGGGUGGAAACACGCUGAACACUCUCUGUGCUCUGAGAGUUGCGCGCAUUCUGUCCACCGGUGCUUUCGUUAGUAUGGCUGAUCCUGAAGCACGAGCCGCCGUACUGUCGGAUUACACUGAGUUCAUGACACGUCCCGGCUCACACAACGACACGUACGCCGAGUCCUUCCAUAGAAGCUUCUUCUCUGACUGGCAGGAACUCAGACCUACGUCCUCUAGAGAGGUUCUGGAGUUUGCAGAGCAGCGCUCCAAAUGCAUGUUGAGCACAUCCCGUGCUGACAGUCAGCUAAAUGCUAUAGGAUGUCUUCCCAUGGCCAUUCCCUUUGUCCUGCUGUCUGCCACAGCCAAUGAGGAGGAAGCAGUUUCUGCAGCGGUGGAUUUUGUGAAGCUCACUCAUCCUCAUCCAGCGCUGGAGCCGCUGGUGUCUCUGUACAUGCGAGCGCUUCACGCCACACUGAACGGAGCAUGUCUGAAACGACAGGCGGAGACGGCGCUCAAAUCACCCGUGCUGGACGCCUGGGACGUGUGUCAACACUUUAUACAGUGCGCAGAGAGGAUUCCAGGAUCAUCAGUGGAGCGUCUGAAGGUUCAUCAGAGCGCUGUGGAGUCUCUCGGAAUCGCCUGCUACACACAAGGAGCUCUCAGCAGUCUCUUCUACCUGGCCUACAGCUUUCAUAAUGACGUGACGGGGGGAAUCCUGACCAACACCAACUGUGGAGGUGCGUUUCUGAAUGACUGAGUGUUGUGACUCACUCACUGAAUGGCAUGUUCAGCUGUGCUGAUGAUGAUAAUAUGUGUGUGUUUAAAGAAUAGUUCACCCAAAAAUGAAAAUGUGCUCACCCUCAG
ensembl:lncRNA uncharacterized LOC107551094